CGUUCCGCGUUAUAUUGUCAACAUGUACAUGUUAGUCCAAAUUCACGUGGAAUAUCCGGAUGUGCGCGUUGAAUAAACAUAUUCGGAGAUAAAAAGGAUGUCUUCCAAGACGGAACGUUUAUUCUUCGAAAGCCUUCAGCAUAAGGCUCUCGAAUGUCUGGAUACGUUUCCAAGUAAAGUAGUCGAAUUAAAUGAAAUCAUUGAAGAAUAUAUGCCGGAAUCAGCGAGGAAUAAUAUCAACGUAAACACUAACGUAAUUUAUCCUCAAGCGAGAUCAGUGUCAACGUUGUCAAGUAUAAGAGAUCUUACAACUUAUUAUUCUCUAUCGAUGUGCGAUCGUAGCCGCACGAGACACAGAAUUUAUAAAAGAAAAUAUCACAGAAUAUACGGUGGUAAUAACACGACGAUACGUCGAUAUCCUGGUGCCCUUGGUCAGCUAUUGGCAUUUAUCAUAAGUCGACUAGCUUCCUGUACAAAAAAAAUCGUAUUCACGCCGUCCUAUUUCGUAAUCGACAAUGUCAUUCCAAUGUUCUUCCAAAAAUCAGAGUUUCAAAACGCGCAAUGUGGUACAUCCUCCAACUGGAGCUCCUCCGUUCUAGAGUAUACGUCUAGCAUCAAAAAGGAUGACACGAUCGUUGAUACAUUUAUCGGCAUCAUGCGACCAGCCGCUGUUCAAUUAAUCGCAGAUAUCACGAUACUUAAACGUUGGCUGCAGGCCCUUGCCCUAAUCAAAAAUUCGCUCGAGUCGAUCGAAUUGACCAAUGCGACUCGUACUACCGAAACCAUCGAUUGCUGGGCCUACGAGCUCUUCUUUCAUCUCAAGAACCUUCAAGCAACUCCUAAGGAAUCGGGGGAUCGCAACGGUAUGACACACUUGAACUUGUGGCAUCGGAUGGUCCAACUUCGUAAUAAUUAUAUUAUCCUCUACGAAACAUUGAAUAACAAUCAAAACAUCUUGAAUCUCGCGUCUAUGGAAGUUUCUUGAUUGUCGUUUUUUAUCACAUAUUUGUCUAUAUAAAAUACGUUUGAUGUAAAUUUAUCAAAUUCUUGCAUGAUUCGUAGAGAAAGAAAACAAAAAAUGAAACCAAAAAAAAAACAAAAAGAGAACAAACGAACAAACAAAAAACAAUAAGAAACAAAACCAUCAAACUUUUCUGAUUUCUUUCGAAUGGAAGACGACAUCGAAACGAGAUAUGGAAAGAAGAUACACGAUCGCGUCCUCACAGCACCAACACCACCACCACCACCACCAACAACAACAACAACAAUAACGACAACAACGACGACAAGAUCCAAUCAUUGAACCAACGUUUUUCAACAGUUUCAUCUGUCGAAGUCUGAAUAGUGAAAGAACCAAAAGGUCAUCAUGAGUCCAACGAGUUGACCUUUCUAAUGCCAUUGCUCUUUCUUUCUCUCGGACAGUAUCGUUCGUAAGUAAACUACGAUCGAGCAACGGACAUGUACAGACACGGUAGCGUUGUUAAUCAUCUGCCUACGAUGCGUUUAUUUCAGUUUCGCGAAGUUAUAUACGCGAAGAAAUCGUCGCCGAUGAUUCAUUCGAUUUCAGCGAGAGAGGUACUAGCCGUAUAUGGGCAAGGUCGAUAUCCCAUUAAUAUCUCUUUCUCUCUCUCUCUUUCUCUUUCUCUCUAUCGAUCCUUUUUUCUUUCUACCUUUAAACCACGACGAUAGAAAUAUUAACGUAGUGUCGAUAUAAUAAAUUUCCGUGCUACGAGGAAACGGCGCUUUAAAGUUUUCUUCGUCGAUUCAAGAAAUCAUGAUAGUGUGUUUCUUAUUCGCAAACUCUCUCUCUCUCUCUCUCUCUCUUUCUCUCUCUCUUUAUCUCAAUCUUUCUUUCACUCUUUCUCACUCACUCUUUCGUGUUCGUUCGUUCUUUCGACCGUUAGCUAAUAUUUCGAGUAGCCAUAACGAGAAAGGUUCGCGCAAUAUUUCCUUGGCGUAUACUGUUCCCACAAUAAAUACGCCGUCGAAUCUCAUUCUCGUGCUCGGAGGAGCGCCGACACCAAGUUGAGUGUAAGUACGUCGGUGGCAACGAUCCUACGCUUACGGAAUAGCGCCUCAUGAGAAAGUCGACGUUACUUUUACGCGUUCGCGCAUCGAGGAGAGACGUAAGACGGACCACACAAGAAGAAAAUCAUGCUCGGACUAUAUUCUAAGCUUCUUGCAUGUAAACUCGAUAACGUCUCUCCUUUCUUCUUCUCGAUCUUAUUCGUCUUUCUACUCCUUUCACUUCUGUUAUUCUUCUUUUUUCUUUGAUUUGAUUUGAUUUUACGUUGUUUUUCUAUUUCCUUUCAUUUCUCUUUUCUUUUUUUUUUCUUUUUUUUCUUUUCUAUUUCUCUUAUCGACUACACGUAUACCGGCGGGCAUAGUUAGACGACAAAGUCCUGCAGGGCUGAGAUCGGUAUGAUCGGUAUCGUUGAUUGGAUAUUUGCGGUGUUAACAAAUCGUUACCAGCCGUGCUCGAUGCGGCAGGUCGAGUCUAGCUUUAUGAUUGCACCUUCUACGUUACGUACGAGCUUAAACGAGCAACUCGGCAACUUCGGUACCAGUAUAGACUAACACCAACACCACCAACACCAAGAUCAUCGUGAGUCCCAUCAUCGUUCAAAACCAUACGGAUUCUCAUGAUGGCGGAAGCCGAUCUUCUCGCAGUACGCAGUAACCCCAGCGUUUUUCUCCUUUUUUUCUUCUUUCUUCUUUUUUUCUUUCCUUCUUUUUUACUUUUUCUUUUUCUUUACUAAAGAUAGAUAAGCUAAGAAUGCGUAACUCUCUAUACGUAUCUAUAUAUCUACGUAUGUACAUAAUAUAUCUAUACGUACGUAUAGGAUAUCCUACCUUUUCCUUAGAGGUCGAAACGACUUUAACGAUUUCUUGUCGUAUUUCAACAAGUCUUUUUAGAAAAUUUUAUGGGAUGAGAAUAAUUAUCAUAACCGCGCACGGAUAUUAUUAACUAUUUAAUGGAUAUGCAGGUGA